AGAGUUUGAUCAUGGCUCAGAUUGAACGCUGGCGGCAUGCCUUACACAUGCAAGUCGAACGGUAACGCGGGGCAACCUGGCGACGAGUGGCGAACGGGUGAGUAAUGCAUCGGAACGUGCCCAGUAGUGGGGGAUAGCCCGGCGAAAGCCGGAUUAAUACCGCAUACGACCUACGGGUGAAAGCGGGGGACCGUAAGGCCUCGCGCUAUUGGAGCGGCCGAUGUCAGAUUAGCUUGUUGGUGAGGUAAUGGCUCACCAAGGCAAAGACGGGUAGCUGGUCUGAGAGGAUGAUCAGCCACACUGGUACUGGAACACGGACCAGACUCCUACGGGAGGCAGCAGUGGGGAAUCUUGGUCAAUGGGCGCAAGCCUGAACCAGCGACGCCGCGUGAGUGAUGAAGGCCUUCGGGUUGUAAAGCUCUGUGGGGAGGGACGAAAGACUGGAGUGCGAAUAGUGCUCUGGGUUGACGGUACCUCCUUAGCAAGCACCGGCUAACUCUGUGCCAGCAGCCGCGGUAAGACAGAGGGUGCAAACGUUGCUCGGAAUUACUGGGCGUAAAGCGCGUGUAGGCGGGCUUUCAAGUCAGAUGUGAAAUCCCUGGGCUCAACCCAGGAACUGCAUUUGAAACUGAGAGUCUUGAGUAUCGGAGAGGAAAGCGGAAUUCCUGGUGUAGAGGUGAAAUUCGUAGAUAUCAGGAGGAACACCGGCGGCGAAGGC
rnacentral:rRNA from 1 species